GGGAGGAACACUUGAUGGAUGAGAGCUUUGGGAACCAUUACCAUUCUUGCUUUUAUCUCCUCUUGGGCAUGUCUUUGUACCAAUGACCUCCUAGAAGCUUUUGACCUUGUGAUUGCUCAAGCUACAAACAAAAGGUGUUAGUGACAUAUUUUUGUGCUUUUGGUUAGUAAACAGAAAUGAGAAAAACAAUGAUAUAUAAUUCAAGCAUGCUUGGUGAUCUCAAACCACUCACAAGAGAUCCCACCCAAAGGCAAAGGAACCAAGAUGCUCAAUGAUCCUUGAGGCUAUGCAAAUGAAAUGUUAUGAUGCCAUGAGGGAUCUUAGGGACAAAAUUGGGGUCUUAC
rnacentral:lncRNA from 1 species